CGGAGAGGGAGCAUGAGAAACGGCUACCACAUCUAAGGAAGGCAGCAGGCGCGUAAAUUACCCAAUCCUGACGCAGGGAGGUAGUGACAAGAAAUAUCAAUAGAUUGAACACAGUUCUGUCUAAUUGGAAUGAGUACAUUCUAAACCCCUUAACGAGAACCAAUUGGAGGGCAAGUCUGGUGCCAGCAGCCGCGGUAAUUCCAGCUCCAAUAGCGUAUACUAAAGUUGUUGCAGUUAAAAAGCUCGUAGUUGGAUUUCUGUGCACCGGUUGUUGGUCUGCCUCUAUGAGGUGGGUCCUUCACCGUUGUACAUCCUGUUGGCAGACACGUGCUGGCAUUCAUUUGUCGGUGCGGGGAGACCACUCGUUUACUUUGAGAAAAUUAAAGUGUUCAAAGCAGGCAAUCGCUUGAAUACAUUAGCAUGGAAUAAUAGUAUAGGACUUUGAUCUUAUUUGUUGGUUUUAAAGAUCAAAGUAAUGAUUGAUAGGGACAGUUGGGGGCAUCAGUAUUCUGAAGCGAGAGGUGAAAUUCUUGGACCUUCGGAAGACUAACAACUGCGAAAGCAUUUGCCAAGGAUGUUCUCUUUAAUCAAGAACGAAAGUUAGGGGAUCGAAGACGAUCAGAUACCGUCGUAGUCUUAACUAUAAACUAUGCCAGCUAGGGAUCGGUGAACGUUGUUUCGACUUCAUCAGCACCUUAUGAGAAAUCAAAGCAUUUGGGUUCCGGGGGGAGUAUGGUCGCAAGGCUGAAACUUAAAGGAAUUGACGGGAGGGCACCACCAGGAGUGGAGCCUGUGGCUUAAUUUGACUCAACACGGGAAAACUUACCAGGUCCGGACAUAGUAAGGAUUGACAGACUGAAGGUCUUUCUUGAUUCUAUGGGUGGUGGUGCAUGGCCGUUCUUAGUUGGUGGAGUGAUUUGUCUGGUUAAUUCCGUUAACGAACGAGACCCCAGCCUGCUAAAUAGGUGGUUCCAUUAUGAUGGGAUCUUCUUCUUAGAGGGACUAUUGAGUGUCUAACCAAUGGAAGUUUGGGGCAAUAACAGGUCUGUGAUGCCCUUAGAUGUUCUGGGCCGCACACGGGCUACACUGCGGGGUUCAACGAGUAUAUACCCUGCGUAGAAAUGCGUAGGAAACCUUAUGAAAACCCCGCGUGCUUGGGAUAGACUAUUGCAAUUAUUAGUCUUCAACGAGGAAUUCCUAGUAAACGCAAGUCAUCAGCUUGCAUUGAUUACGUCCCUGCCCUUUGUACACACCGCCCGUCGCUCCUACCGAUUGGAUGAAUCGAUGAGUCUUUUGGAGAAUUCCGGCUGAUCACAUUGUGCGACGCAGGUUUCGAAGUUAUGCAAAUCACUUCAUCUAGAGGAAGGAGAAGUCGUAACAAGGUAACC
rnacentral:rRNA from 1 species